rnacentral:lncRNA from 1 species
ACAAAUUACUGAGUUCAAUUCGCGAGCACUACAACCUUAUUCGAAUCUCAAUGACCACACAAUUAUAGAGUUCGAUUCAGUGACUACCAGUCCAACCUACUUAAUCAUAGUCCAAUUACAGUCUAGAAAUAGAAAUAGUUCCAGUCAACAGUCUCUUGGUGAUUCAAAUCUAAACAAAGCACAUAUACAUCGAUACUCACUACUUGAAGAACACAGAGCAAUCACUACAAUUGCAUUUUUCAUUUCAAGUUGGAGCUACAUCAAUGUGUUUCGAGCGUGUACCUGGAAUUCAAAUGAAAUAAGAGAAGAAGGAAUCAGUGACAGAGCAGAUAAGCAAUAGUAGUUUGGAUUUCAAGCAGCGACACACACAUCUUGUUCAUCCCAGAAACAAUCCAAUAGUCUAGAAGUAUAUAAAAACCCAAUAGAACAGUAUAUUCAACCAAAACAGUACCAAACAUUCAGCAGUUGACUCGGAUUUAAAAUCAGUCGAUUACCAACCCUCAGCAGCUAAGAAGAAGCUAGAUGAAAAUCAGAAUCAAACUGGCCCUUUCUCAAUAAAACAAUAAUUUUGUUGGAUUUUUUUAUUGAUUUUUUUUUUUGCUUGUUUUUGGUUUUUUGGAGUUUACUACUGUUUUUGUUUUUGAUUUUCAAUAUUUUGGAGUUUGGAUCUCAGGUUUCAGAUCUGAAACUUGUAGAGAGUUGGAAGAAAAUUUGUGAGGCUCCAAAGCUUGUGAAUCAAGUAAAGGGCAUGCCCGUUUAUACGCACAAAUGAGGGCAGCCCUCAGAUUUUCCAGUUUUCCUUUUAGUCCCUCCUAAUUUUCAGUUUGGUCCCUUUAUUUUUGACUUGCUAAACAAGCAAGUACCGCUAUUAUGCUAAAAUCUACGCUAAGGUACCAUUCUAGAAGGUCCUAGGAUGCUCUUCCACCCCUAAAAUACCUGUACACCGUUACCCUUAUUUUGAAAUUAUCAAUCUUAAUAAAACUACCAUUUUCCAUGCCUAAACUAUCUUUGUUUUCACCCUGGAAUUACUACCCAAAAAACCAUUCAGCUAUAACCAACUCAGUUUUACAACUCUAAUAUUGCCUCAGACUAAUACUAAUUGAAACUGCAAAGCUAAUCAUACUAAGCCAUCAAAGAACAAAACUAACAAUUGAAUUACCUAAUCAAGAUGUUAAAAUAGAUUGCAAUAAACAAUUACAAGUCGACUAACUAUCUCAGAAUCAGAAUGCAUCAAUAUGAAUAUUAAGAACAAUAUUGGAUUGAAAAUUUGGCAUGAAGAAACAAUUUGCAAGAAGGAUAUUUGACUAAAACUAAUUGAGUGAGCUAAUUAAAACUAGCACGCAACGAUUAGAGUAACAAUUGACCAACUAAAACUGAAUAAGGCAAAAUCCAAAUAAUAAACAACGACAACGACAACAACAACAACAACAACCCAGUAUAAUCUCACUUAGUGGGGUCUGGGGAGGGUAGUGUGAAGUCUAGACAUUAUUUCUGACCAUAUUUGACUUUUUAGUAUACAGCAGAUAUCUUACAAUAACAAAAAGUACAUACGAGAGACGUUGAUAAAGUUGGUGAAGAAAAUGUUGAUAUAUUUUUACGGACUUUGCGGGUUUCCCUUUGUAAGCUUCCUAUUAUCGAAUUGCUUUCAUCGAGAAUAUAAGCUGUGCUUCUCAUAUACAUAGGUUCAACAGACAAUUCCAAUACAGUACAAAACAAUCAUCCAUGACGACAACAACAACAACAAUCCAGUAUAAUUUCACUUAGUGGGAUCUGGGGAGGGUAGUAUGUACGCAGAUCUUACCCCUACCCUUGGGUAGAAAGGUUGUUUCCAAAUAAACCCCGGCAUCUUUCCCUCCAAGAACUUCCCACCUUGCUCUUGGGGAGACUCAAAAUCACAACCUCUCGGUUGGAAGUGGGGGAUGCUUACCAAACAAGCUAAACAAAAAUGGAAAUUAUACUAAGAACAGAAUUGGACUAAAAUUAAACUAAAAAUCAAACUUAUUUGGAAACUAACUUCAAUUAACAGAUAAAAUGAGUAUCAAACUAGACAAGAAAUAAGCUCACUAAUUAAAACAAAUGGAGCAAAAGAAAGAGCAAAAGAGGAAUUAAAUCACUGAUAAACUAAGUAAAACGUGAAACUAGAGGAACACUUACUAUGGGAGACAUUCAAUCUUGAAAAAAUAUCUCUUAAAAUAGACUUGACUUCAGCAACCCUGGAUUUGAAAUUUGUUGAGAUUCAGUGAGAUUCGAAGGAUUUUGACCAAAGAUUCUGGAUGAGAAAAGGCCGGAGACUAUCUAGUAUCAAUUUGGGAUCAUUUGGGCGAUUAUGUGUUUUCGCCGGAAAGUUUCGGAUUAACAUUCGAAUUGAUUGGAUAGGAUUUGAAGGAAGUGGUUAUGGGGGUUUGAAAGAGUAGGAAAGGAUGAGUUGAGGAUGUAUUUUGGAGCUCUGCUGCCCCGGCGGCGGACGGCGGAAGAUAGCGGUGCCAGGGCAGAGAUGGUGGGGUGGUUUGGGGACGAUGAUUCAUAUGCCAUGAUUGACUCUGGGAAAUGACGUUGUUUGAGGGGGAGACAAGCUGGACUGGGUCUGGGGACAGAGCUAUGGGCUGAGGUGUGGUUUUG